GACGGGAGCACUUGGCGUCUUCCCGGUGAGUCUCGGUUUGUACGCAGCUCCGCUGGUCGCGAUGCUGCAGGAAAGUACAGAACCGUUAUCGCGUUUUCUGAUUCAGCCACUCAUGGUAGGAAGAGAGACAGAAAGGGGUCCCAGCCGAGAAAGAAGUUACUUGGGAAGAAAGCAGCCCCUGCCUUUUGUAGCCGCCUGGGCCCAAGUGAGUCCUGUUUAAGAGAAGCAGUUACGAAGGACAGCCAUAGCUAUGAUCCGGUAGUAUGCCACUCUCACCUGUGCCCAUCACCACAGGUGGCAGUAUUGACUUCUCCUGACCUCAGGGAAUCUCAGAAUGAUGGCUCACAGAGGGUUUCCGUGGUUAUCUACUUCUGAUUCUUGAAAGCUUUCAAGAAAUUGGACCUGACUGGUUCGGUGACUUGUCAAGGGACACCCAAUUUGUGACAAUCAGGAGGAAAACACAGUGCCCUUCACUUUCUCACAGGUGAAUCUCCUUGGCAAGGCUGCUGGCAGCUCUGGAGCUAACAGUGUAACUGGCCUGUGAUGUUACAUCCCCAAAGUCCUU